GACGAACGCUGGCGGCGUGCUUAACACAUGCAAGUCGAACGGAAAGGCCCUGCUUUUGUGGGGUGCUCGAGUGGCGAACGGGUGAGUAACACGUGAGUAACCUGCCCUUGACUUUGGGAUAACUUCAGGAAACUGGGGCUAAUACCGGAUAGGAGCUCCUGCUGCAUGGUGGGGGUUGGAAAGUUUCGGCGGCUGGGGAUGGACUCGCGGCUUAUCAGCUUGUUGGUGGGGUAGUGGCUUACCAAGGCUUUGACGGGUAGCCGGCCUGAGAGGGUGACCGGCCACAUUGGGACUGAGAUACGGCCAAGACUCCUACGGGAGGCAGCAGUGGGGAAUAUUGCACAAUGGGCGGAAGCCUGAUGCAGCAACGCCGCGUGCGGGAUGACGGCCUUCGGGUUGUAAACCGCUUUCGCCUGUGACGAAGCGUGAGUGACGGUAAUGGGUAAAGAAGCACCGGCUAACUACGUG
rnacentral:rRNA from 1 species